rnacentral:rRNA from 1 species
GACGAACGCUGGCGGCGUGCUUAACACAUGCAAGUCGAACGAAGUGGCGAACGGGUGAGUAACGCGUAAUCAACCUGCCCUUCAGAGGGGGACCACAGUUGGAAACGACUGCUAAUACCGCAUACUGAAGGAGGGGAUUGCGUAUGAUUAGCUAGUUGGAGGGGUAACGGCCCAUCAAGGCGAUUAUCAGUAGCCGGGCUGAGAGGAUGAACGGCCACAUUGGGACUUAGACACGGCCCCGACUCCUACGUGAGGCAGCAGUGGGGAAUCUUCCGCAAUGGACGAAAGUCUGACCGAGCAACGCCGCGUGAGUGAAGAAGGUUUUCGGAUCGUAAAGCGCUGUUGUUAGAGAAGCGGUAUCUAACCAGAAAGCCACGGCUAACUACGUGCCAGCAGCCGCGGUAAUAC